rnacentral:rRNA from 1 species
ACCAAUACCCAGUGGCGGACGGGUGAGUAACACGUGGGAAUCUACCAUUAGAUGGGGAAUAACAGGCCGAAAGGACUGCUAAUGCCGCAUAUGUAUGUGCCUCGACAGGGGCGUAUAUGAAAGGAGUAAUCCGUCUGAUGAUGAGCCCGCGUCCGAUUAGCUAGUUGGUAGGGUAAAAGCCUACCAAGGCGACGAUCGGUAGGUGGUCUGAGAGGAUGAUCACCCACAAUGGGACUGAGACACGGCCCAUACUCCUACGGGAGGCAGCAGUGGGGAAUUUUGUGCAAUGGGGGAAACCCUGACACAGCGACACCGCGUGAGCGAAGAAGCCCUUUGGGGUGUAAAGCUCUGUCAACGGGAACGAAAAAAAUGACGGUACCCGUGGAGGAAGCAUCGGCUAACUACGUGCCAGCAGCCGCGGUAAGACGUAGGAUGCAAGCGUUGUCCGGAUUUAUUGGGCGUAAAGAGUUCGUAGGCUGUUUGUUAAGUCUGAUGUUAAAGACUGGGGCUCAACCUCGGAAAUGCAUUGGAUACUGGCAGACUGGAGUGCAGUAGAGGCUAGUGGAAUUCCCAGUGUAGCGGUGAAAUGCGUAGAUAUUGGGAAGAACACCGGUGGCGUAGGCGACUAGCUGGGCUGUAACUGACGCUGAGGAACGAAAGCCAGGGGAGCGAAUGGGAUUAGAUACCCCAGUAGUCCUGGCCGUAAACGAUGGAUACUAGGCGUAGUGGGUAUCGACCCCUGCUGUGCCGCAGCUAACGCGAUAAGUAUCCCGCCUGAGUAGUACGGCCGCAAGGUUGAAACUCAAAGGAAUUGACGGGGGCCCGCACAAGCGGUGGAACAUGUGGUUUAUUUCGAAGCAACGCGAAGAACCUUACCAGGGCUUGACAUCUG